AACGUGCCCAGUCGUGGGGGAUAACGUAGAGAAAUUUACGCUAAUACCGCAUACGAUCUAAGGAUGAAAGCGGGGGCUUCGCAAGAACCUCGCGCGAUUGGAGCGGCUGAUAUCAGAUUAGCUUGUUGGUGAGGUAAAAGCUCACCAAGGCGACGAUCUGUAGCUGGUUUGAGAGAACGACCAGCCACACUGGGACUGAGACACGGCCCAGACUCCUACGGGAGGCAGCAGUGGGGAAUUUUGGACAAUGGGCGAAAGCCUGAUCCAGCAAUGCCGCGUGCAG
rnacentral:rRNA from 1 species